rnacentral:lncRNA from 1 species
GAGGGAGAAUGAGAGGAGUGAAGGCUGAGUAGCAUCUCUGUUAUUCUGCCUUGGACGUUUACCAAGGAGUGUUAGUGGAUUGAAAUCAGGAUUGAAAUCAGUCUGCUACACUGGCUGUCUUGUGGGUAGCAAAGGAGAAAGUUUAAAAAGUAAGGAUGGAAGGUGAAACAUAUA